rfam:Aedes albopictus isolate Foshan contig148933, whole genome shotgun sequence.
UGCCCAGUAAUUCCUAUCCCUACCUCCACGCGGUACGGGCCGGAAACUAUGAGCAACCUUAGGGAAGA